AGCCAUGUAGUGAGCACACAGCGAACUAUUCUUUCGCCUUUUACUAAAGAAUACCGUGUGCUCGCUGCAUCUAGUGGCAUACGUUUAUUUUUGGAGGGAGUUCUUAUGGGACUUCC
rnacentral:snRNA from 1 species